rnacentral:tRNA from 1 species
GGAUUGUGGCUCAGUGGUAGAGUGCUUGCCUAGCACAUGUGAGGCACUGGGUUCAAUCCUCAGCACCA